rnacentral:lncRNA from 7 species
AUUGAAUGUGUGGGGGAAGACUGAGGGGAGAAUGCACAGCCCCAGGUCCUGUUGGAUUCCUUUGCUGUUGCAUUUCCUGAAGGGAGCAGGUUUCUUUAGGCCUCUGCAAAGCAGAGAUCUCUUCAUCCCUGGCCACUCGCUGAUGUCUUGACUGAGGAUCCACUUAGCCAUGAAAAAGCAGCUAGUUCUUCUGUGUUGAGGUGGCCUCGGGAGAGCAGCUACAGGAACAGGAAGGAGGUGGAGUGACGUGGAUAGACCCAGAGCAGUCCCUGCUGCAGCAGUUAUGUUUGGCCCAGAGAUUCAUCUCAGGUUCUGCAGGGGAACAUCAACAAGAAGCCUCAUAAAAGGAUGUGAAACUGGAUGCCAGAUUUCCAACAUCUGACAAAGAAACCUGCCUGGAUGGGGCCCUCUCCCUCACCACUCCAGCUGCAACUGGCAGGCUAAGAGAAUCUCCCCAGGCUCUGCCUCCACACACAGAGGAGCACAAGAAGAACGUGGUCUCCAGAAAACGCAGUCCCUCUAAAAAGAAAUACAUGGUUGGGUUGGAAGCAAUCCCUGAGCACUACGCCUUGCCUGCCUCCUCAGAAGUGGAUGGUGUGUAUCAGAACACCAAGUCCACGUUUAGUUUCCUCGUGUGCUGUAUUAACAGUAGCGAUCCUGAUGCCAGCAUUCAGGCAUUGAAAGAAAUUGAGGAGCUCCUGAGUCACAAGAACAAAGUAGAAGCCAUGUCUGGACUCGUCAAUGGGUUCCUUGUGGCCAGCUGUCAACUUUUCAAACUUAGCAACAAAAGCUUUUGCUUUGGGCUGUUUUUCAGAAGAGGGAAGAAUGGGAGAGUGGCACUGGAGGAGCACAGGUCCCAGCCGUGAGGUGUCAGAAGCAUGCAUGUCCCUGGGCAGGGUGCAGCUCAGGCCUGGCAUCAAGUGAGCACGCAGAGAAUGACUGCUUCCCCAGAUGGUUCAGGGGGAUGGUGCCCUUCCCCAGGCAAAGAGGAGCUAUGUCUUAGAAUCUGGAGACUUCCCAGCAAGGAGCUGUUUGAAGAUGUCAAAACAGCAUCUCUGCCUUUCUAUGAUGAGCACCAGCUCUUAAAAGCUUGACCGGCUGCAAAAGCUGUCAUAGGAAAUAAGUUGGGAAAAGCCAUCUGUUCAAAUUUCUGUUUAGGUAAAACUAGUAAGAUGUAGACUUUUACACCCAACUCUGUGAAACAGAAGAAGUUCAAGAGCAGAGUUGCUGUGGACAACCACAGAACAGCAGUGCCAAAGCCCAGCUCACCCCUUCCACGUUGCCCAAGGAACACUGCUAUUUUCAUUGUAUACGCCCUUGGUUUGUCUUUGACUUUCCUCUUGUCUGUGAGUUCCUGUAGGUAGCAGUCCCUAGCCUUUUGUCUUGUAGAACUGUAAACACUUUAAACUGUAAACACCUGCUAAAUUACAAAGCUUAUUUUCAGGUAGAUGUUUCAGUCAAUAUCAUUUUUAGUUAAAAUACAUGUUAGAAGAAAUAUGUGGUCUGAGUAUUGGCCAACAGGAAAAAUACGCCCCAGAGAUGUCCAAGUGUCAUUAUCCUCUCUGAAUGGCAAAAUGGCUUGUUUGCUGCAGGCUGUAAUUGACUCUGCUGCUGCUGCAGGGUCACACAGAGUUAGAAACCCUGCCCUCUUCACACAGAGCCAUACCUGCCCUGGGGCUGCUCCAGGGCAUGUGAAAUCAGUGUCUGGUAUGACCACAUCCAUUUUCUGGCUGGGUAACUGGAGGAGAGACGACAUGGCUGAAAUAUCUAUGUGGUAUGGAUUCUUUGAUUCCCUCCUGAUCUGUCCUUGGGUUGCUCUUUCUUUGUGCUGAAGGACUUUAACUGCUUCGAGGUUGGAGUGGAGCAAUGUAGCUCAAAUGUGUAAAUAAACAUGUGGCC